GGAGGCCAUCGUGAGCUCAUUGAAUGAGACUUCAUUUAAAACAUGAACGAGCGCAGCGCAGAUGAAUACAUGAAGACCUCCAUGGGUCCGUUUGGCUGAAUGAUCAUGAGAAGAGCUGCAUAAGCCACAAUGGUCUGUCUCUUUUGCAGGGUAACAGUGUAGACCUGUUCAGAUCCCUAAGGGAAAAGGAGUACUGACUUGCUGGCCUUGAUAAAUGAGCCUGAAGAGAUGCUGAGAGUGAGACUAAACCAUGAUGUUCCACUUCAAUUUGUCUUCGGUUAUUUCUCCCACCUGGCUUUAUGCAACUCCUUCCUGCACAGGCCCUGGAGCCACAAAGCUCAGAAUAAAAAUUUUCCUGUUAUAUGUUCUUUUAAGGACUGCUGAAGCUUGGACUAAGUGAUGUGCAAAGAAUGAACAUUUAUAGCUAAGGUGUUCUAUAGCUGGUCCUUCAGUUCAUUCCUCUUUAUACAGUUCUGGUUUCAUUUUUCAUUUUCUUCAUGAUUUUGCAGACAUUUACAUAAAUCUAACAUUCAUAGCCUUUUAACUAUUUUUAUAUUCUGCUACAAUAAGCUACAGCUCUGAGAUUCACCGAGACCACUUCUAUUUUGUAACUAUGGUGUAUGAAAUCCUGCAGAAACUGAAAAUAAAAAUGUCAGAUAUA